GGCAGCAGUGGGGAAUAUUGCACAAUGGGCGCAAGCCUGAUGCAGCCAUGCCGCGUGUAUGAAGAAGGCCUUCGGGUUGUAAAGUACUUUCAGCGAGGAGGAAGGCAUUAAGGUUAAUAACCUUAGUGAUUGACGUUACUCGCAGAAGAAGCACCGGCUAACUCCGUGCCAGCAGCCGCGGUAAUACGGAGGGUGCAAGUGUUAAUCGGAAUUACUGGGCGUAAAGCGCACGCAGGCGGUUUGUUAAGUCGGAUGUGAAAUCCCCGGGCUCAACCUGGGAACUGCAUUCGAAACUGGCAAGCUUGAGUCUUGUAGAGGGGGGUAGAAUUCCAGGUGUAGCGGUGAAAUGCGUAGAGAUCUGGAGGAAUACCGGUGGCGAAGGCGGCCCCCUGGACAAAGACUGACGCUCAGGUGCGAAAGCGUGGGGAGCAAACAGGAUUAGAUACCCUGGUAGUCCACGCCGUAAACGAUGUCGACUUGGAGGUUGUGCCCUUGAGGCGUGGCUUCCGGAGCUAACGCAUUAAGCACUCCGCCUGGGGAGUACGGCCGCAAGGCUGAAACUCAAAUGAAUUGACGG
rnacentral:rRNA from 1 species